rnacentral:rRNA from 1 species
CAGUCGCCGCGGGAAUACGAAGGGUGCAAGCGUUAAUCGGAGUUACUGGGCGUAAAGCGUGCGCAGGCGGUUAUAUAAGUCAGAUGUGAAAUCCCCGAGCUCAACCUGGGAACUGCAUUUGAGACUGUAUGGCUAGAGUGUGUCAGAGGGGGGUAGAAUUCCACGUGUAGCAGUGAAAUGCGUAGAUAUGUGGAGGAAUACCGAUGGCGGAGGCAGCCCCCUGGGAUAACACUGACGCUCAUGCACGAAAGCGUGGGGAGCAAACAGGAUUAGAUACCCCCGUAGUCCCUGUCUCUUAUAC